CACCGCCGCGGUAAUACGUAGGUCCCGAGCGUUGUCCGGAUUUAUUGGGCGUAAAGCGAGCGCAGGCGGUUAGAUAAGUCUGAAGUUAAAGGCUGUGGCUUAACCAUAGUACGCUUUGGAAACUGUUUAACUUGAGUGCAAGAGGGGAGAGUGGAAUUCCAUGUGUAGCGGUGAGAUGCGUAGAUAUAUGGAGGAACACCGGUGGCGAAAGCGGCUCUCUGGCUUGUAACUGACGCUGAGGCUCGAAAGCGUGGGGAGCAAACAGGAUUAGAUACCCGCGUAGUCCCUGUCUCUUAUACAC
rnacentral:rRNA from 1 species